GUCCACGCCGUAAACGAUGAAUGCCAGCCGUUGGGUGCAUGCACUUCAGUGGCGCAGCUAACGCUUUAAGCAUUCCGCCUGGGGAGUACGGUCGCAAGAUUAAAACUCAAAGGAAUUGACGGGGCCCGCACAAGCGGUGGAGCAUGUGGUUUAAUUCGAAGCAACGCGCAGAACCUUACCAGCUUUUGACAUGUCCGGUUUGAGGAACAGAGAUGUACCUCUUCAGUUCGGCUGGCCGGAACACAGGUGCUGCAUGGCUGUCGU
rnacentral:rRNA from 1 species